rnacentral:rRNA from 1 species
UCUGGCGGCGAGUGGCGAACGGGUGAGUAAUAUAUCGGAACGUACCCAGUAGCGGGGGAUAACUACUCGAAAGAGUGGCUAAUACCGCAUACGCCCUACGGGGGAAAGGGGGGGAUCGCAAGACCUCUCACUAUUGGAGCGGCCGAUAUCGGAUUAGCUAGUUGGUGGGGUAAAGGCUCACCAAGGCGACGAUCCGUAGCUGGUUUGAGAGGACGACCAGCCACACUGGGACUGAGACACGGCCCAGACUCCUACGGGAGGCAGCAGUGGGGAAUUUUGGACAAUGGGGGCAACCCUGAUCCAGCCAUCCCGCGUGUGCGAUGAAGGCCUUCGGGUUGUAAAGCACUUUUGGCAGGAAAGAAAUCGCACGGGUUAAUACCUUGUGUGGAUGACGGUACCUGCAGAAUAAGCACCGGCUAACUACGUGCCAGCAGCCGCGGUAAUACGUAGGGUGCAAGCGUUAAUCGGAAUUACUGGGCGUAAAGCGUGCGCAGGCGGUUCGGAAAGAAAGGUGUGAAAUCCCAGGGCUUAACCUUGGA